rnacentral:lncRNA from 1 species
CCUUCUCCCGCCCUCCCGCCCGCCCUCUCUCCCUCCCUCCUUCCCUCAGCCUACGAGGCAGCAAUUACGCUUUGGGGAUAAAACGAGGCGCGGAGAGCGGGCUGGGGCAUUUCUCCCCGAGAUGGCGGGUCUGACAGCUACAGCCCUGCGGCCCGGAGUCCUCCUGCUCCUGCUGUCCAUCGUCCACCCCUCGCAGCCUGGAGGGGUCCCAGGGGCCGUUCCUGGUGGAGUCCCAGGAGGAGUCUUUUUCCCAGGGGCUGGUCUCGGAGGCCUGGGAGUAGGAGGUAAGCUCAGAAAAUAAAUUUGGUCCCUUCUGACAGGUUCUGGGUAUCACUCCGGCCCACACAGGUCCUGGCACCUCAGAACCCCAGAAGGUGCAGGCAACAAGGGCCUCCUCGUUUCACGGCCCAGCGUCCAGUGUGGGAGACUUGACUGAGACCUGGAGCCCGCUGCCUCCCGCCCCCUGCCCCUCC